rnacentral:rRNA from 1 species
GCAUAUCAAUAAGCGGAGGAAAAGAAACCAACAGGGAUUGCCUCAGUAACGGCGAGUGAAGCGGCAACAGCUCAAAUUUGAAAUCUGGCCUCGGCCCGAGUUGUAAUUUGUAGAGGAAGCUUUUGGUGCGGCACCGACCGAGUCCCCUGGAACGGGGCGCCAUAGAGGGUGAUAGCCCCGUAUGGUUGGACGCCUAUCCUCUGUAAAGCUCCUUCGACGAGUCGAGUAGUUUGGGAAUGCUGCUCUAAAUGGGAGGUAGAUUCCUUCUAAAGCUAAAUACCGGCCAGAGACCGAUAGCGCACAAGUAGAGUGAUCGAAAGAUGAAAAGCACUUUGAAAAGAGGGUUAAAUAGCACGUGAAAUUGUUGAAAGGGAAGCGCCUGUGACCAGACUUGCGCCCCGUCGAUCAUCCGGGGUUCUCCCCGGUGCGCUCGGCGGGGCUCAGGCCAGCAUCGGUUCUCGCGGGGGGACAAAGGCUCCGGGAACGUAGCUCCUCCGGGAGUGUUAUAGCCCGGGGCGUAAUGCCCUCGCGGGGACCGAGGACCGCGCUUCGGCAAGGAUGCUGGCGUAAUGGUCACCGGCGACCCGUCUUGAAACACGGACCAAGGAGUCAAGGUUUUGCGCGAGUGUCUGGGUGUAAAACCCGCACGCGUAAUGAAAGUGAACGUAGGUGAGAGCUUCGGCGCAUCAUCGACCGAUCCUGAUGUAUUCGGAUGGAUUUGAGUAGGAGCGUUAAGCCUUGGACCCGAAAGAUGGUGAACUAUGCUUGGAUAGGGUGAAGCCAGAGGAAACUCUGGUGGAGGCUCGCAGCGGUUCUGACGUGCAAAUCGAUCGUCAAAUCUGAGCAUGGGGGCGAAAGACUAA